GGACGAGUAGCGAAGUGGCUAAACGCGGCAGACUGUAAAUCUGUUCUCUAAGAGUUCGGCAGUCCGAAUCUGUCCUCGUCCACCA
rnacentral:tRNA from 1 species